UAGAAGGCUGAAUGGUGAUUGGCUAAUGAGCAUUGACAGUGACUGAAAAAUAGAGAUAUACUUUCCCAGUAUGUGUGAUUUUGUCAGACACGUUUGAAUGUUUCCCGCGUACAGUUGGACUUCCUUGGUGAGAAUUGAAAUGUAAACAAAGUCUGCCAGUCACCGAGUGCUUUAAGUGUUAAAUGAAGUAACAUGAGUAAGCCGGCCGCUCCCACAUCGGCUGUCGGCUGGAUGUAGGACAAGCAGGACUUGUAACGUACACAGACUCCUUGUGUUACCAGAUUCAAACUCAAGAUUUGUAUAGAGACAUGAAAGAUGACAUUUUGACACCAGCAAUUAUGACCCAACACAUCCCAUCUAUUCAAAAUUGAAUGUCAAGGUUCUUGGAAAAUUUAAGGAUGAAUUAGGUGGAAAUGUUAUGAAUUCAUUCAUCGGCCUCAGGCCAAAGAUGUAUUCAUUUACUUUUGGAAAAGAAGACUUGCAUGAAGUGGAUGGGGAGAUGGUACCGGCAAUCAGACGAGAGGAAAAACAAAAAGCUAAAGGGGUGACCAGAGCGGUCAUCAAGAAGCAAUUGAGACAUGCUCAAUAUAAAGAGUGUUUAACCACACAUACCCAGCUCCGUCAUGUCAUGAGACUAAUUCAAAGUGAGAAACAUCAGGUUUUACAGUCAGGAAAAACAAAAUUAGCUUGAGCCCAUAUGAUGAUAAGCGUUUUGUGCUGGAAGAUGGUAUUCAUACUCUAGCACAUGGCCACUACAAAAUUGCAGAGAAUUAGCAUGUGAGAAACCAUUUCAUUGCCAUACUGUGUUUGUAAAUAUCUGCAUAUUAACAGUGUAAUGUGUGUGUGCCGAUCCAGUGCAUUAAUAUCAUUGAGAUCAUUUAUUAUCUAAAUAUAUUUGACCCAAAUGUAUUGUAUAUAGUGUGAUCAUGUUCUAAAAUCAAAGAGAGUUGUUAUAAUCUGACCCAAAUAUGUUUUAUGUUUUGUGAUCAUGUCCAAAUAUGAAAAAUGAGCUUUUGUUAUCUAAAUAAUUUGACUUAAAUAUGUUUUAUAUAUAAUAAUCAUGUUCUAAUAUCAAUGAUUUGUCAAUGGCAUUUGUUAUCAACAUUAUGAUCAUAUUCCAUGUGUGAAAAAUAUGCAAUGAAUAAAAUUUAAUGGAUUCUUA